rnacentral:rRNA from 1 species
AGUGGCGGACGGGUGAGUAACGCGUGAGAAAUGCCCUUAGGAGGGGGACAACAGUUGGAAACGACUGCUAAUACCCCAUAUGCCGAGAGGUGAAACAUUAAUGGCCUGAGGAGGAGCUCGCGUCUGAUUAGCUAGUUGGUGGGGUAACGGCCUACCAAGGCGACGAUCAGUAGCUGGUCUGAGAGGAUGAUCAGCCACACUGGGACUGAGACACGGCCCAGACUCCUACGGGAGGCAGCAGUGGGGAAUUUUCCGCAAUGGGCGAAAGCCUGACGGAGCAAGACCGCGUGAGGGAGGAAGGUCUGUGGAUUGUAAACCUCUUUUCUCAGGGAAGAAGAACUGACGGUACCUGAGGAAUCAGCAUCGGCUAACUCCGUGCCAGCAGCCGCGGUAAUACGGAGGAUGCAAGCGUUAUCCGGAAUUAUUGGGCGUAAAGCGUCCGUAGGUGGCUAAGCAAGUCUGCUGUUAAAGAGCGGAGCUAAACUCCGUAAAGGCGGUGGAAACUGCAUAGCUAGAGUGUGGUAGGGGUAGAGGGAAUUCCCAGUGUAGC